UACGCGAUUCGUCUGCUCAUUAAACCCAUUUCAAACCUUUCCUCUCUCUUUUCAAUUCUUUCAACUUCUCAAUUUUGCCUCGUUCACUUCCCAAAACCUCCCAAAAUGCAUUCUCAAAUAAAAACCCUAGCGUCGAAGAAUCUCCGUCGCUGACCACAGUCCCGACGACAGUAGAGUCCAGUUUUUUCAAACAGAGCGUGAACGAUGAGAAAUUUCUGCCGCUGACCACAUUCCCACGCUUGCAUCAACCGACCACGAAUUAGAUAAAUGGCUAAACAACGAGAAAUUUUGAACACCACAGAGCCAGAUGGCAUUGAAGAAUCUUUGCGAAUUGUUAACAAGCGAAGGAGAGGAAAGAAUGCAGCUGAUGAGGCAAAUGAUCGAGACGCUGAACAUGUUCAGCAUAUCGAGAAGGGAAUAAAUCACUCCAUUUCAGGAGUUCUCAUGAAUAUUUUAGUCGUUUGAUUGCUAGGCUUAAUUCAAAGCCGAGGAAUGCAGUCCGGGAGAUGGGAUUCAGACCACUGCUCCAUUUCUCAUUAAUCGACCUACCGGGCAACCUAGCAUACUGGAUUUGUAUCAAAUCUGCAUAUCGCAUCGAGCAACAUCAAGCUUGCUGGAAACCAGCCACUACAUAUUGAUGUGGAAGACGUCCAUGUGACGCUUGGAUUUCCAAAAGGUUCUAUGCCAAUCAGACGAAAGAAUAGGCUUGAGGGUCACCCGUUUGCCGAUGGGAUUGCUGCUCGUAUUGGCAAAGAUAAAGCUCAACUUCUAGACACUGAUGUAGAGAAUGGGAUGUUUGAUCUUUUUCUUUGACUUGGAAAUGCCUUGUAGUUGAAUUGUGAAUCAUUUUUUUGUCAGCAAUGCGAAUGUUUGUUAAUGGUGGUGCAA